CGUUCGUUGAUCCCUGUGGGAUUUAGACUGCCGGUUUGAAAGAUGAGCUUUGGUUUUUAAUUGGAAUAAGCCAGCACAUGCUUCCUUCGUCAUGAUAACGAAAAACUUUGAGAACAGGUCGGGCACUCUUAGCAUUAAUACUUUUAUAGUGUUUAAAUAUAGCUGUACCAAUUGCAUGGUUUCCUUGAUAUACUAAUGAGAUCGAGAUAUAGGAAUAUUGAGGAGGUAUGGUGAUGGUACAAUUUCAAAUCAAAAUCCGGUAAGAAAUAAAUUUGUGUUUAUUGUAAAAUAACCUUAUAGCGCUGUUUUGUUUCAGAUGGUCCUUUGGAAUGUUAUUAUGGGAGAUUGAAUCUGGAGGUAAAAUGCCGUAUUCUGGUCUUGGCGGAAUGGAAAUAAUUAAAUUUCUGAAGGUAAGACAAAUUUUAACAAGGCCGUAUGGAUGCCCAAAUAAAAAGUAAAUAAUGUAAUCUUAAAUGAAAUGAGAACUCGGUCUGUCAUAGUUUUUCAGCUCUAAGGUUGACUAAUCUAAACCGUUUUCAUCUCACUGUUACGAUAUCAUGAAGUUCUGCUGGAAUUUUGAUCCUACAAAGCGUCCUACCUUUUCUGAGCUUUUGGAAUCACUCGAGGAGGAACUAAAAAACAAAGACGGCUCCCAGAAGGAUGCGAGCGAUCAUGACUAUGAAAAGAGCUGAGUGGUUUUUGAAAAUACAAUCAGAUCUGGGUGGCAUCGAAGAUGACCUAUCUUUUACUUCAAGUUGAUUAGCUGAACAACGGUGCUCAAGUUAUGUGGCGAAAGCUAAUAACAAUGGUUCAUUGACAGGUUGACCUAGUAAACUGUGUGUUGCGCACAGAGUAAAAAAAAAAACGUUAAUUAAAUCACCUUGAAAGUCAAAAUAGAUGUUUCUGUAAUUGUCAGUAAAGGGCGUCAAAGAAAUUAUUGCAUGAUACUUUGAAAUGUUUCUGCAAUGAAGAAAUUUGACAUCAAAGAAAAAAAACAUUGAAAAUAACAGUUGCCUAGGGUCAGUAGACAAAGAGUAAAGAAAUAAGAAGAAAGAACAUUUCACAACGGGAGAUGCAGUUCAUUUAAUUGCGGUUAGUUGUAUACCAGAUCCGAUGAAAGUUGCUUUUUUAUGAAUGUU